UUUAAAGGUUUCGUUGGUUCAGAUGGAGAUUGGUCCUCAAGUGCAAAGGCAAAAGGGAGCUUGACUGCAAGGCCCACCUGUUGGGUAGAGAUGAAAGUUGGACUUAGUGAUCUCAUGGUGUUGAGAGGAAGGGUUGUCGCUCAA
rnacentral:ncRNA from 1 species